rnacentral:lncRNA from 1 species
GGACUUCAGAAGUGCCAUAUUUAUGAGACUCACAAUAAUCUGUACAGGCUGACAAUGCUGAAAGUGAGCAGGUACUUGUUGUGAUACAUAGACCCUGAUGUACCAAAAUGUUCAUUUGCAAAUUUACAUUUUUUACAGAGUAUAUAUACAUUUGUCUCUUAAGCAAUGCUUCAAUCCCCCAGAAAUAGUACUAGUGCAUAUAUUUGCUUGUAAUACCUCAUAAUCAAGGGGAAAAAAAGUGUCCCUCCUCGGAAGCACGUACUACAGGGGCCAUUAGCUUGAGUUCCUUGAAGCCCUGCGUUGAGGAACUUGUGUACUGACUGGGUUUCGGUUAAGUUUCUGGGGAGCACUUCCUCCUAGUCUGGAAGUGGAAACAUCGAUGUACACAGCGAAAAUCUGUUCUCGCAGUAUUUCCUGCCUAUCUCACAGCAGCAACUCACAGAAAUGGUAUUCACUUCUGUGUUCGUGUGUUGUUUAGAAGCUGUGAAGGAUUCAGAUAGCCCUUUGGACAAUGCCCAAGUGACCCGGCACUCAGCCAAACUGACCUUAAUCUUCUAUCAGCCCUGAUCAUCGGGUCUUUAGGUUCAGAGCCUGCCCUCGUUCACACCUCCCCUUCACUUUGCAAACAGCAAAGCUGAGACAAUGACGACAGCCACUAAGAGAGGAAGGGCCAAGUACAAUGUUAAUAUUGCCAACCUGCUGCAUGAGGAAUGAACCAUGCUUGUAUAAAUUAAUUGGGGUCUUAAGCAAAAUCGAGGCAUGAACAUACUGGUCUUACUUGCAAAAGAGAGAAGGCAGAGAAAGGGAUCCCAGAGGUACUGCAAGCCUGUUUUGCUGCUGAGCGUUCUGUACCAUGAAACCACAGCCCCAUGGAGCACAAGAACAACAGGAGGUGUGCAUUACACUGCCUUUUCAUCUGCUGGGCAUCAUGUGGAAAUGAGAAAAGUUGGCACAGAAAACUACAGAACCACCACAGUAAACAAGAGUGACAAAGCACGGAGCUCCUGCUCCCACCGGGGUCAGCAACCACCAGGGUCCUCUUGGCUGGUGUCGACUGAACCAAAAGGAAGAAUCAGCAGGAUGAUAGUUUUGACAAAGUGGAGGGCAGAGCUCUGGGAGGCGGUGUUCUGGCCUUACUUGUAA